AACUUGUCUUUUGGCCAAUUUUUGACAGAAACUGACCUAGAAAUGACCAAGGUCCAAAUAUUCCAGCACAUUCCCAGUCUCAGAGAGUGUGGGUAUCGCUCCAAUCAGGGGCCCUGAUGUCAUGUGUACUUGGGAGAAGCAGGAGAGAGUUGCUUUGCUCAGUCCAUUGCUUCCCACUAUCACACACCAGCAGUCAGUUACAGAGCACACAUGUAAACCUACAGGAAACUAUCCAGGGGGACAAUGGUCCCUGUGGCUACUGUGCAGCUUACCAGAGAAGGCCAAGAGUGGGUGCAGCAAAGUGGAAACAGGCGCCAGAGUCUGCCUGAAAGGCUGCGGACUGGGAUUAUGGGCAUUUCGGGACUAUCUGACGCCGGCCUCAUUUUCCUCCAUUCUGUGGCUCAGUUUUCCUAACACGUGCUUGGGUGUCUUAGUUUAUACUAUCCAUUAUUAUACUAGAAGUAGCAUUGGAUGUGAGUCAAUGAGCUAUACUGUCUAUCCAUCCAUCCAUCCAUCCAUCCAUCCAUCCAUCCAUCCAAAAUUCAGCUAGAGAGGUAGCUUAGAAGCUUACACAACAUUGACAGUAUAAUUAACAGUUUGAGGUCAGCCUAAGUAUGUAUGUAUGUAUGUAUGUAUGUAUGUAUGUAUGUAUAUAUGUAUGUAUACAUGCAUGUACACACACACACACAUAUUUAAACCUGGCAGUGGUGUUACACACCUUUAAUCCUUUAAUCCUCAUGAGGCAGAGGCAGGUGUAACUCUGAGUUCAAGGUCAGCCUAACCUACAAAAUGAGUUCUAGGAGAGCCAGAGCUACACAGAGGAACCCUGUCUUGAAAAACCUAUAUCUAUCUACACAAUAUUUAAUAUAUAGAUAUUUUAUCAGUUUUGUUCCUCUAGAGAACCCUAAUACAGCCCCAAUUGCCUUCCAAAAGACUCAUCUUCCUUGGGGGGGAUCCCCAGAGUGCAAGGCUCAGUUGAAAACUGCCCUCCUCUGCUUUGUGCACUGUGAGGAGUGGGUGGAGCCAUGCCCACCUGGCCAUGGGAAAUGGAGCAACUAAGGGGCAACUGCCAAACUCAAGCAGUCAUUACUUCCUAGGGUUUUUACAGAGGAAAAGCCAUUUGUGGUAAUGCACACAGUAAGCUCAAUACUGAGGCUGACGGGCCACACUGCAGCCUGUUUCCCAAAGCUCAGAAAAGAUCGUGUAAGUGAGGAAAUGGAAGCAGUGCUGGGGUAGCUCCACAGCUCUGAGCCCUAUUCUGCAGGCUCCUGGAAUCAACUCUUUAGGAGUUCUAGGCAGGGGCUGGGCUCUGCAGAUCUCACAUUUAGUUGAUCUUAGUUGAUCAAGAGAGUAUAAAAAUGAAGAUGUCAGUAACCGAGGCAGAAUGGAAGACUUGCUAUUGAUAACAUUGUUGAUACUAUGCUGUUAAGAUUCUCAGCACUACCCAGUAGAGAAAUCCAUGCUAAGUUUUAUCCAAUCUCUAGGGAGCACAAAUAACCAAAUUAAUCUUGAAACAGAGGUGAAGAACUUACCUUCCUUAUUUAAAACUAACUACAAAGCUACAGUAAUUAAAACAAUGUGGUAAGUUAAAACAUAGUGUUGAGUAUUUGACAUCUGAGAUUCUAGCACUUAAGAGUCUAAAAAAGAUCAUGAGUUUGAGGGCAGCCUGGGCCAUACUAGACUCUGUCCCAAAUCAAUCAAUAAAAUCAAUAAUAAAAAAAAGUUUUUUCAAAUCUUUAAAAAAAAAAAAAGGAAAAGAGGAUUUAGGGCUUUUAGGGCUUGGGUGUUAGCUCUGUGGUCGAAUGCCUGUCUAACAUAACAUGCAUAAAGUGUUUUAAAACUAGGGCACUGGGGAGAGGCUGGGAUGCAGCUCAGGUGACAGAGUGUUUGUCUGGCCUUCAGAAAGCCCUCGGUUCCAGCCCCACUCCAGUUUAGCAUGACGGAACGCUCCUAUGAUCCUGACAUCCAGGGCUGGAUGGUCAGAAGACCAAGAUCAUCCUCGUGAGUUCAAGGACAGCCUGGGAAACACAAGCUUUGUCAGGAAAGCCUUUCUGUGAAGAGUCUUAGCAUUGUUAGUUACAGUUACUAAGGAAAUGUGUAUCAAAGCCACAAUGGAAAGAACAUUUUUCUGGGGCAAGAUACCAGGGGCAGCACACAGGGCUUCACUGAGCUGCAUUGCCACCCACGUAUUUUUGAGACAAGUUGUCAUUAAGUUGCUCAGGUUGGCCUUGAACUCUCUAUCUUCUUACAACUCCGUAGAGAAUGGCUCUCAGGUCUGCACUAUCAGGCCUGAUUUUUUUUUUUUUUUAAUUUCUAUUUUAAAGUAAGACGAUAAAGUUAGUAAAAAUAUGGGGAAAAAAUUAGACCCCUGACACACUAGGUGAAAACUGGGGGAAACAGUUUUAUGCUCCCACAAGAGGCUAUGCACGUGACAGUGCUGUGUAGCCAGGACCGGGAGCAGGUCUUCAGAUAUCUGCCUGCUCUUGUUUGAGCUAGGCCAGCCAGGACGCUCCACAAUGGGGUGUGUGUUGCUGUGGCGAGAAGUACAGACCCAUGCUCCAGCAAGGAUGGGCCUGCAAGCAAAAUCAUCCAGACACAGGCUAGCAAAUAGCACAGGACUGGAAACUGAGUAGCUAUGGGAGCAGAGGGAAGGGGAUAGGAAAUCACUUUGUGGCUAGAGAGUGACAGCGUGGAAUGAUGAGAAAGUUCUGGUAACAAUUACACAAUACCAUGAACGCCCUUCGUGCCUGACAAAUGGCCAAGUCUGAUGUUUUCAUCCUAAAGUUAUUUACAGAAGUGCCAGCAGCCUGGAAAGAACGUUAAUCAUCUGCUGGUGAUACAAAGGCUGUUUCUGCUGAACCCAGAGCAGGGUGUGUUUGGCGCAUAACCCCGGCAUGUCCGAAAACACACAAGUUCUCGGAUGUGAGAAGUGUGACCUAGAUUCUACGUUCCUAGGACACAGCCUGCAUGCACACAAGUGCACACAUGCGCACACAGGUUUAGGUUAGAAUCCUCACUGUUAGAACUACUGACUUCCGGUUAGAUCAAGCAGCGGGGAGCUGAGCCAGAAUGAGCUUUGUCACGAAAGAGCCUCGAGGUGGGUGGGAGUAAAGGGGGCGUUGUGAGAACAACGGGAGAGUCGGCUUUAAGUGGAAGAAGAAAGAGCCACUAUCUACUGCAUGGAGUGGGGUUGGGGGGAAACAACCUUCACAAGGUUCACAGCUUUUCGGGGUAUGUGUGUGGAGGGGAGUCAGUCUUCCUCAGCCUCUGUGACUCCUGGGUUCACUGAACCAGGUAGGUACUAGACGGAACCAGGGACUCAUCUUGUAGCUGUGAGGGGGAGGGCGGCAAGGCCCCAGCAAGGCCCCAGCAAGGCCCCAGCAAGGCUUCUGAACUGCUCUGGCUGAGAGGGGGAGGUAGGAGGAAGAGAGAAACCAGGAAAGGAGGGAAGGAGAGGGAGGGUGAAGACAGCUUGGUGGUAUGCACCUGGAGUUCCAACACACAGGAGAUUGAGAAAGGAGGGUCAAGAGUGGGUGAGGAAGGGAUCUGCAACCCUAUAGGUGGAACAACAAUAUGAACUAACCAGUACCCUGGAGCUCUUGACUCUAGCUGCAUAUGUAUCAAAGGAUGGCCUAGUCGGCCAUCACUGGAAAGAGAGGCCCACUGGACUUGCAAACUUUAUAUGCCCCAGUACAGGGGAACGCCAGGCCAAAAAGGGGGAGUGGGUGGGUAGGGGAUUGGGGGUGGGUGGGUAUGGGGGACUUUUGGGAUAGCAUUGGAAGUGUAAAUGAGGAAAAUACCUAAUAAAAUUAUUAAAAAAAAAAAAAAGAAAAAAAGAGUGGGUGAGGCCAGCCUGGGCUACAUAGUGCAUUCCAGGCCAUCCAGGGCUACAAAAAUGCCCCAGAGCUACAAAAAUUUUUGUUUGGCUUUUUAAAAAAAGAUUUAUUUGUUUUAUUUAUAUGAGUACAUUAUCACUGUCUUCAGACACACCAGAAGAGGGCAUCGAAUCCUAUUACAGAUGGUUGAGAGCAACCACGUGGUUUCUGGGAACUGAACUCAGGACCUUUGGAAGAGCAGUCAGUGCCCUUAACCUCUGAGCCAUCUCUCCAGCCCCAGCUUUUUUUUUUUUUUUAAAAAAACAAAAACAAAACGGGUGGCGGCCACUUGCCCCUUGGUACCUCUAGGUGCCACCCCCAUGCCCUAUUGCAUGUGGGCACCUCCAGUUGCCAUCUCCAGAAGGAGCAGCAGGAAUGGCGCUGGGGUGCCACAUCUGCAAGCACCCUGAAGCUUCUUUGUACAGAGGCUUUGUGCCAGGGCUGCUGCUGUGGCCACAUCUGGGCAUAGGCUUUCCCAAGGGUCUACUGCGUUCCACACGCUGACUUGUGCCCUCAACUCCCAGUUCUGGAAAGCACAAUCGUAUAGGUUAACUCUGAGAUCAUGAUGUUCUUGCACCUGAGCAGUCAGAGGCUAAGAAGAGAGGCUCACAGGGCAACUCUGGGGCAAGAAUCAAGCCUGCUCUUAGGACAGGUCCUGAGCAGUUCUUUCCUCUGUAAGCUGGGAUGAAAGUCUUACAGAUCCUACAAGGCAGGACAAGAGGUUACAUAGCACCUGGCACCUGCUGGCCACAAACAUGCCCAAGAAGCACAGAGCUCCCAUCCAGGAUAUAGGUAGUUAGGCCUAAUGAGCCAGUAAUAAGUAAUAGUAAGGUCAGCUCAGCCGCCUCCAGCACAGUGGUCAGGCUCCACAUUCCCAGAUGACAAUGCCUCCCUUCUGGUGCUAAAGACAGAACCUCAAGAGCAUGCAAGGCAAGCACUCCACCAGCUACACCCAUGCUGUUCACCAUGAUUUGACCAGAGUUUGUAAUCCUAACAGUUGGCAGCCUAAGGCAGGAAGCUUACCAAUGCAAAGCUAACUUGGGCUAUGCAGUGAGUCCCAAGCCGGCUUUGGUUACAGUGAGAGCCUGUGGUGGUGGGGAAGGGCUGGGGGGUGGUUGCUUAGCUGUAUUAGCACAAGCAUUCAGAUAUGAGUUCACAUCCCUAACACAAUAAAAACCUGGCACUUGGCUGGCAGGAGGCAGGGGGUGGGAGAUAGGGACUACACUGGCCCAUCCCAGGAGUUAGGCCAGCCUUAGUGAAUCAAUGAGCCCCAGACUGAGACCCUGUCUCAAAAAAAUAAAGUGGAGUGGUUUAUGGGGAGGACACUAGGAUGGAGCCUGGAGCCCUGCAUACACUGCAGGCACUGACACUGGACAACGAGCCAUGUGGCAGCCUUGGCCUCACCCUUCCACUGCACGGACCUUUCCUUGGGCAACCCAGCUUCAUCUCAUAGACUCCCUUUCAAGUCCAAGCUCCACUCCUGCCUAUGCCACCAGACAGGGCCCUCACUUCUCCGGCUGCUCAGCUUUGGGUGGUCUCUAAGAUCUGAGACCCUUCACCUUUGUAGGUGUUCUAAGAAUUCAGGGACCCACCAAAGCAACCACCUGAAGAAAACACAAAUUGGAGGGUUGGGAUGAGGCCUGCAUGUAACUAACUGUUGUUUGGAACCCUGCACUCCACCCCAGCACCAAACUAGACAAGCACAUGUGUGUUGCCUGCACAUGGGUGUGACUGUAUGCAUGCAAGCCAGACACUGACAAUGGGCUUCCCCUAUUGCUCUCGACCCCCCCCCCCCCCUUAAGCAGGGUCUGGAGCUUGUAGAUAGCUGGCCAGUGAGCUCUGGAGAUCAGCCUAGGGACCUCCCAUCCCUGGAGCAACACUAUUUUGUUUUGCUGUUGUUUGGUUUAGUAAUUUGAGAUGGUCUCUCUAUGUAGGACUGGCUGUCCCAGAACUCUCUAUGUAGACUAGGAUGGCCCCAGACUCACAGAGCUCCACCUACAUCUGCUUCCUGAAUUCUGGGAUUAGAGGCAUUUGCCACCAUGUCUGGCCAUUUUGCCCAUAUUCUAAUGGGUUCUUGCAUUCUGCACUCAGGUCCCCACAAGUGCACACCAAGCACAGUGCACACCAGGCCAUCGUCUCAGCUUCCUUCCUUUUUUUUUUUUUUUUUUUUUGAGACAAGGACUUACUCAGCCUAGGUUGUUCUUGAAUUUUCUAGUAGCUAAUAAUGACCUUCUCCUCCUCCUGCCUUCACCUUCUCAGUGUUGGAGUUACAGAUGUGCAACACCCCCCUUGCUCUUUCUCUUUCUCUGCUGGGUCCAAAUCCACAACUGUCUGCCAGGCAAGAUAAGCUGUCUAUCUCUAUCUUUUAACUAAGUAUGUUUAGAUGUACAGAAUGACUAAAAAGUUCACAUCUAAUUAAUAAAUUAAUGAACAUAUUCUUUCAACAUUAAAAAAAAAUGUGUGUAGUAGUGCACACCUUUAAUUCCAGCACUUAGGAGGCAAAGGCAGGCAGAUGUCUGUGAGUUCAAGGUUAUUUUGGUCUCCAUAGCAAGGCCCAGGACAGCCAGGGCAACAUAAAGAGACUGUACCCCCUAGCCCCCCCCCCCCAAAAAAGGUACCAGGAGCUGGCUCAGUUAGCAAAAUGCUUGCUAUGCAAGCAUGUGGGCUUGAGUUUAUUUCCCAGAAUCCAUGUAAAAAGCCAGGCACAGAGGGAGGUAGCCACAGGACGAUCCUCUGACUAGGCAGUCAGCUGGGCCUACUCUGAGAGCUCCAGGCCAGUAAGGGACCCUGUCUCAAACAUCAAGAUACCUCGUUCCUGAAGAAUGACACCCAAGGCAUGUACACACACAUACACACACACACACACACACACACACACACACACACAAAAUCAUUAUCAUCAUAAAAAUACCGCUAGAGGUCAUGAGAUGAUGAAUUCAUGUACUGUACUAAUCUGUGGCAGAUCCUGGCAUGUGAUAAACUUGUAACUUUAUUUCCUAGUUUAUUUUUGUAAGAUCCAUGUUAACAAUAUCUAAAUAUAUGAGUUGAGAACACACUUCAGUAAAAAGCAUGUGUGCAGCAUGUGCAGUGUCCUGAGUCCCAUCCUCAGCAACACACACACACACACACACACACACACACACACACACAGAGUUUGUAUUCACAAAUAUAUACAUAAUCAAUAUACCAUGUAUAAUCCGUUGAGAGCCAGGCCAAUCCAAGGCUUUCUUAGAGGCCCUGAUGAAAAGACAAAGGAACCUGGUUCUAUGUCCUUGCCCAGAGGCAGGCUGGCAAGGCCUAUACUUGCGCCUGGGGUCAGGGACUGGAAGGAGGUAAGGUUUUAUUUCCUGGGAAUUUGACUUUUAAACUAACCUCCCUCACCCACGCACCCCCUGCUGAGUGACUGCUGUAUUGAGCCCUAAGGCUGCUAUGUGCUUAGGUCUCAGACACCCUUGAGAGAUCCUGUGUUUCCCUAGGCAAUAUUGCUUGCUCAGGGGCCUGCUGACUUUGUCCCACUGUAUGGUCGCUUCCCACUGACUGCCCCAUGUCCCUCUGCAAAAGUACAUAAGAUAGUGUACUUCUUAAUAAACUUGCUAGGUAUAAGAGAUAGGUCAUGCAUAAUUCCUGAGCUACCUGUUCUGUCUUCUUUAUCUCUGAUCUUUCCUCCUCAGCAUCCUGACACUGAAGAACAACCUGCUGGUCCAGAUCAAAAGUCAAUAUAUGACAAUAAAACUACAGGAACAAGGGCUGGAGAGUAGCCCAGCCUUCAAUCCCAGCACUUGGGAGGAGGCAGGAAACAAUUGGAAACUUCAGGCAGCCUGUUGACUGGAAUGUCCUGUUGGAGACCCAUCACCCAGAAUCAGAGAGCUUCAAGGAACUAAGUUUGAGUUUAUUGAGCUAAUGUUUACAAAGCCCUCUUGAAAACUUUGCUGGCCAGGUAUGGUAGCAUCUGUCAUCCUACCAUUCUGGAAGCAGAGGCAGGAGAAUUUCAGCAAGUUCACAAGCCUGGUCUACACAGCUCUAAGUUAUCAAGGUACAUGGAGAGACCCGGACUCAAAACAAAACAACCUCCAUGUUGUCCCUUAAAACAAACAAACAAAAACCAAAAUGCAAAGGCAGGGUGGUGUUACAUGCCUUUAAUCCCAGCACUGGAAGGCAUCGACGGAUCUCUGCAUUGGAGGCCAGCCUGAUCUACAGAGUGAGUUCCAGGGCAGCCAAGGCUACAUAGAGAAACUCUGUCUAGAACAAUCAAAAUAACAACAAAUAAAUAAAUACAACAAAAAGCAUUCUGCUUUCUUAGAAAUGGCCUGCCUAUUCAUACCAGUAAAGCAUGGGCCUCAGAGGUCCAUAAGGAAUUUUAAAAGACCUCUGAAGGCUCAGAAGCAUCCAAGAAUAUGCCAUCAUCCCUCCAUGCGGGCAUCCUCUAUAAAUCUGGGUGUACCUUGCUCUCACCAAGGUCAAGGCAUCCUAACGUUCCUGAGGCUGCCUUAAACUCAAGGAUUUGACUGCUUUUGCUUCCUGAAUGCUGGAAAUAAAAGUAUGUCCAGCUACAAUUCUUUUUUAUUUUGAUUUAUA